rnacentral:rRNA from 1 species
AUUGAACGCUGGCGGCAGGCCUAACACAUGCAAGUCGAGCGACCGACGGACGGGUGAGUACUGCCUAGGAAUUGCCCGGGCGGGGGGGAUAACAGAUGGAAACGACUGCACAUAACGCAUACGGUUGGACUACAUAGGUGGGAUUAGCUAGUUGGUGAGGUAAUGGCUCACCAAGGGGACGAUCCCUAGCUGGUCUGAGAGGAUGAGCAGCCACACUGGAACUGAGACACGGUCCAGACUCCUACGGGAGGCAGCAGUGGGGAAUAUUGCACAAUGGGGGAAACCCUGAUGCAGCCAUGCCGCGUGUGUGAAGAAGGCCUUCGGGUUGUAAAGCACUUUCAGCGAGGAGGCGUUACUCGCAGAAGAAGCACCGGCUAACUCCGUGCCAGCAGCCGCGGUAAUAC